UACGUAGGGUGCAAGCGUUGUCCGGAAUUAUUGGGCGUAAAGGGCUCGUAGGCGGUCCAUCGCGUCGGGGAGUGAAAAGCUGGGGCUUAACCCCAGUCCUGCUUCCGAUACGGGUGGACUAGAGGUAGGUAGGGGAGAACGGAAUUCCUGGUGUAGCGGUGAAAUGCGCAGAUAUCAGGAGGAACACCGGUGGCGAAGGCGGUUCUCUGGGGCCUUACCUGACGCUGAGGAGCGAAAAGCAUGGGGGAGCAAACAGG
rnacentral:rRNA from 1 species